rfam:Cicer arietinum chromosome Ca6, whole genome shotgun sequence.
GAGCAAGAGCGUGGAUAAAUGGCGCAACUUGCAUUGAAGGUUGGCAAAAACAAUUUCCAAUGGCGAUUCUCCGUGCCUAUCAAAUUUAUUUAGUUUUGAAUAUGGCCUCGAACAAGUCGCUACAUU